rnacentral:lncRNA from 1 species
AAGCCUGCAAAGCUGAUUGGGAUGUGCCCAAGAUUGAGAGGUUUUCUGGGUUGCAGGAAUUUCAGUUCUAAAACUGGAACAGUCCUAGGCAAACUGGGAUAGUUGGUCACCUUAAUCUGUGAUUAUAAUCAGGACUUCUGAGUCUUGCCCAGCUGCUCCUGCUGUAGGGACAUUCUAGGCAAAAGGACACUGUUCUAGAACCACUUGGCUCCUCCUCUCCACCCUCAAUCAAUGGCAGACAUCACUUAUCUCUCAAGGCAUACGUUCUCUACAUGCAGUCUGAGAU